UUUAUAAUAAGCAGUUGCACAAAAACUCCUGAAACAUGGAGUGGGCACUCGAGACUAAAGCAAUGGUACGGAUAUGUGCUUUGAACAGCUUGAAAGGAGAAAAAGAAAGUUUGCCAAGGUGGAAGAAUAAGAUACUUAGUGGACUAAGGAGAAAAAAAAAUGCUCCAAGUGCAAGGGUAAAUAUUCUUUCUUUGAGAAAUACUGAGUUGAAUAUGGGUCAAAUAGAUUCAGUUCUUUUCUCUCCGCAAUAGCCAUGACAUCCAUUCCAUGGAUUAGCUUUCAUUUUAGUAGACUGGGAGCUCCAAGUCCAUGUGAUGAAGCCUGAAUGCAAAACAGAAGUUGUUAAAGAGGACAUAAGAUUUUUUGUCCUUUGUCUAACACUGUCUUGCUUUUUGUUCUCAAAAGGUACAUUCCUAGCCUGCACUACAAUUUUGUUGUUACUGUCUGUCUCAUUGUCAGAUACGUACAGAAAACCUUUUAUCUCUUUUUGCCUGUCUUCAUUCAUUGUCUUUAUUUUCUGUUUUUCAAAAUUGCUGUUUAACAAAAUCAACCAUCUAGGUACAAAAGUCCUGUGAAAUAAAUAAUUAUUCCCAAAAAAAUUAUACUGAAAGAUAUCUGUGAUAAAUUCUGAAAUUCAUGUAUUGUUAUAACUUUAACAAGAAACGACAAUGAAAAAAUCACCCAGAAAAUGAAAUGCCCGAAAGUUAGGAAAUGGCCAAAUCAUGACUGUGGAGUGUAUAGAAAGAAAGUAGAAAGAAAAAUAGCAACAUAAUUUACUGUGUGUUUGUAUAUAUGCUAUAUUAAAUAAUAGAUCACAUAUGCCAUAUAUAUGUAUGUACUAUAUGUACAUAGAAUAAAAUGUGUACCAUGUAUGUAUAAUUCUAUACUACUGUAUGUACAAGAAUAUAAAUUAAAUAUAUAAAAUACGUGAAAUAAUAUACUUUUCUGUUGAAACAGGUAAAUAGGUAAAACUUAUUAUAUAAUGAAUGUAUAAGAAAAUAACGCACUUUUUGCUAACUGUUCUUGACCUUAAUUUCUGUCCUAGCUUGGGAACCAUUUCCUAGUUAGUCAUGUUUUGAUUCACUACGCAAACCUGCACCACCUGAGCUGCCAGACUAAGUUAUAGUAACAGUAGUAAUUACUAUAUACUAAUUUUGAAACACAUAGUCAUUUUUAGUAUCAGUGAUGAAGAAAGAUGGAAAACAUAGUUUUCCAUUAGGGUAGCUUUCAGAUAUGUUUUCUAUCUGCAGAGUGCAAUGUGUGGAGUACAGCAGACCAAAUCACAUAGAAUUAAAUGGUUGAAAGGAGGAAUACUGUCUUUCCUCAUUCCAGCCUUGUAAUAUUCAUGCAUAAGAAGGUAUUGAAAGGGGAUCUUAAUGCCUGAACAACACAGAAUUUUCCAGUCCAAACAUCUCCCAAGAGGCACAGAAAGGUACUUGGCACUGCUGCCAAACAGCCAGAUGUUCCCUCUGAAUGUCUGUGUGCCUUGACCCGAGGAAGACCAGGCAGAGGCAGCUAGCAGCACAGGGUGAUGCAGAAUAUGGUUCUGACACAGCUGUCAUUACCAGACCUGUACUUGGCUAUACAGGGUAAGAGAGCUAAAUAUCAUUGGAUUAAGUCAAUUAAAUGUAAUUAAUCCAUCAAAUAUUUACUGCAUCACUAUCAUAAUACAUUUAUUUCCUCUGUUCAGCUUUCCAUCAUUACUAGUAUAAUAACUUCUGACAUUUUACUCUCUGUAUAAUGACUUGUUAUUUUCCAUUAAUUGCAAGUCCCGAUGUGACAUUAAAUAAAGCUUGCUCAGACUCAGAAUUUUUACAUACUUUGUGCAGUUCUUGUAUCUUUAAAUUUGAGAGAUUUUCCAUCAGGGUAAUCCAUAGACCAUUUUAUAUUGUUAGAUACAAGUUUUUUUCAAAAAGAGAUAACUAAAAGAUCAACAAAUAUAUUUGUCACUGGAUAAAUGUAUUCUUGGUUUUGACCUGAAGUAAAGUUUGAAUGCGUAUUUUAUUAAAAUGUAGAAGGCUUUUAUUAAAAGUUUGUAACAAUCAUAGGAAUUCAGAGGUUUUUUAAUAAAAUAUUGCCUAGUCUUCUGAAAUGUCAUGAAAACAAUUAGAAUGUGUAUUUAUUAUUUUGUAUUGAGGUAACAGUACCAACGUAUUUUGCUAGAUAAUUUGCCAAGGAUGAAUUAAAAUUUCAUCUUAGUAAGUUAUUGUGCAGUUUUCUAGAUUUGUAUCUAAAUUUUAAAGUUCAGAUAAAUGUUUUCUUUAAAGCUUUAGAUCAGGAUGUUUUGGGGAGACAACUCACUGUGAAGUCUGGCUUAUCAUCCACUUUGGCAACAGUAUUCCAUUGCAUAAUCCCAUUACACUGAAAGUAUUGUUUGAAUGGGCAAUUUCCCUUCCCUUCCCCUUCACCGCCCCUUUCCUCCCUCCCAUCCCCUUCCAUCCCUUCCUCUUCCCCUCCCCUCCUUUCUCUUCCCCUUUCGCUUCCCCUUCUCCUCCCUCUCCCUUCUCACUCUUGCCUGCUGCUGGGGGAUCGCCCCUGUUACCGGGAAGCCGGCCCGCUACGGACCUGCUACCGAGCCCUGCCAGCUGGAAAGAAGCCGCAUCCCAGGAGCCACACACCAUGGAAGGGAUCUUUCUAAAACAAUAUUUGCACCUGUAAUAUGAAGAAAAAUGCUUUGCUAGUUCAUUAUACAUAUGCAAAAUAUGCAAGCCCUAAGCACCAAAACAGCAGAGAUUCUCACAACUUCAUAAACGUAUAACCAAGGCACUGAGUCUUCUAAAUGCAACAUGGCUCAUGAUUUCUCUGAAUUCAGCUUUUACUCCUGCUGACAUGGUAUACAUGAACACAGAGAGCACUUUGCCAUGGCAGAGGGAAGAAAAUGUACCUGCUCAAAGACCUGGUAUUGUUGAAAUACCUGUAUUAGCACACAGGACUUCUCCUAUGUAUUCCUCUUUCAACUACUGUCAAUUAGGACUGGAAUCUCAAUGUACUAGACACUAAAUAGAAUUACAGAAAAAGAGGAAAUGCACUCCCAAUCUGUUGAUUGCUGUCUGUCCACAUGCGUUACAAAGCAGAUCUGGUACUAAUGGGUGAAAUGAUGCAACAUGAACAAAGUGGCCAACUGGGGCAAUGAAAACAAAAAUGGAACCUAAUAGAGAUUAAGCAAACUGUAGUAACUAGGGUCUACAGUUUAUAACAGAAUUCUAGUAACAAGCAGUACUUUCGGCACACUGCUAGAACUGGCUGUUCUCAGUAUGGUCACCUGUUUAAGUAGUGUAUCAGACAUAAGCCUCAAGUAAGGACUUAAUAAAGCUUUUGUGGAGAUUCUGGAACUGUUUUUUCUAUGCUUAGAAGAAGGAAAGAGAGAGAUAGCAUUCAUAAAGGUGAAAUAAAAAGUAUAACUGGGUAUUUUAGCAGCAGGAAAGUAGAAUUAAAACUGCAAUUACAUUUUACUUCACAUGAUACAGGGGACAGAAAAAUCGUGAAUGAUCUGAGGUUUAAAAGAAAAUGUCUUAAUGAAUCAUGAAGAAUUGUCUCUCUAAUGAGAUCAUGAAGUGGGAACAAAAAACAACCAUUUUGGUUUAGCUGCUUUGUUUUUUCUUUAAGUAGCACAAAUGACUAAAGGAUUAACACAAUUGCUUUAAAAAGUGUGGAAGAUGCUGCUGUAUUGGGAGCCUUAUGGAAGAUGUUUUACUUGAACAGGCCAUGUUGCUCUAUUGGUACUUGUACUUAAGAAUCUCAUAUGUUGUCAAUAUAAUCCAUAAACUAUAAUACACAUUUGGGAAAAGUAAACUAUAUGUGGAUCGAGAGGUGGAAUAUAUUGAUCACCUCCCUUGGCUGGGAGAACCCAGCCCAUGCACCAGAGGAGCAUGCAGGCUGCUCCUGCUCAGCACUGCGAUCACAGCUCCUGCCUGGCCUGGCCCUUGUCUAACAACAGAGCUGACUUCUUGUAAGAAUAUUAUACAUGACCUCAAAUGACUGAAAGGGAGUUUCUCCCCACAGACAAGAUCUGCUCUGUGCCACGUGCUGUGGGAAAAUCCACUGGGGCUCCGUCUGACGCUACAUGAACACAGGAUGUCCAGGAUCUGAGGGCAUUUAAGAUGUUACUAUCUGUGCUCCUAUUUGACUUUUUGAAGCAGUUACCUUACUAAGGCAUACUUACUUGUUGUGGGCCUUUCUUGUUGAGAUCCAGAAAGUCCCUGCACUAAUUCUCUGUCACCUCACCCCUACCCCUGUGAAGAACAGAUGGAAUUUGAUAUCAUGCAUUGGUUGCUGAAGUGUUUCUUGAAGUCAGAAUGGUAAAAAAAGAAGGUUAUUUAAUUAGAAGAAUUUUUAACUCUACAGAGAAACUUGAGUACAAAUAUAUACGAUAUACUAGAAAAUUGUACCUAUUUUUUGGUGUGUACAACACUACCACCUUAAGGUCACAUACUAAGAGUCUAACAGGAACUAUGAGGGUGGGUAUAGUAACAAUGCUUGAGACAACCAGCAUAUCGGUAUUUUGCAUGUAUUAAAAUAAUGAAAGCACAGAACCCCAAAUGAAGACAAUAAUGUUAUAAACAAAUAUGGCCAUUAUGAGAUUUUUAAAGUAAGAUUUAGUGAAAUGUAUUUGUAAUGUAAGUAAGAAUAUGGAUCAGAAUUCUCUUAGACUACUCUUUGCUGCUUCCCAUGACAGUAACAUAAAGGACCUCAAAAGUAGAUUUGCAAAUAGUUAAUUUAUUAGAAAUUGCAGUAUGUGGGAGUUCUCUGAAAAAAUAUUUUUUUUUUUUCUUGAAAGCUCUCUGGGAAAGUAAAUUAAAUUAAUCACAUGAAUGCACAAAAAUCUACUGAUCUGUAUUAUCACAUUUUUCAGACAUUUAGAUUAUCUUCUGAGAACUGAUUCUAAGGACUGAUGGAGAUUUAUUCCCAUUUAAGCUGAAAAGUUAUUUAGCCAAGUGCUACAAAAAACAAUUAGCGAACUAGCAUUUUUUGCCUCAAAUAAAAGGAAAAUCUUGGAACUGUUUAAAAACUCGCUAACUAUGUAAAAUGUUUUCUACCUCUGACUCCCUGUGUUUAAUUUUACAGGAUAAUUACUUCUCUAUUGUCGGGUUAGAUGCAAAGAACAAACUAGUGGGUAGAUCUCUCCACCCCUUAUAGCACAUCACAAAAUUUAACUCACAUAUUAUAAAGGGAAGUCCCUAACUCUCUUUUAAUCUUGUGGAUUUUAUCUUUGCAACUUCCUCUAAUACUGCACCAUAAUUAUGUUAAAUGCCUAAAUGUUCGUUUUAGUUAUUUCUUCAUCUCCAGAACCUCCGUUAGUAUUCAAAUUGUCUCAACAAAGAUUUUAAUUUCACUGAUGGUGACCUGUAACAAAUGUAUCUGUUUAGACCUCAGCUUCUGAAAGAAUUUUCUAUGGAAACAAGUAUUUCUUGUCACCUGGAAUUUUAGCUGAAUUUGUGCCUAAGAUUCUGACAUAUUCCUAGAAGAUGUUCAUCAAGUAACUAGUCUUUCAGCAAAACCCACAAAACUGUGAGUUUAGGUCAUGGAAAUUAACAAUUGAAAUAUUUCAUUUUAAAAUAUUGAGUCCUGCUGCUCUUAUUCAAGAAGAUUUGAUCCAAAAGACAAUGCAUUAUAUUCAUAUGUCUGAAUAGAUAGAUAACUGACUCUAUAGCUAUGCAGAGUGCAAAUCAUUCAUUUCUCUAAAUCCUUAUUUGUUUUAUUUUGAUUUAAUUAUAGUAAGGGUAUAACUACUAAAUAAUUUACUAAGUUAGAGUUGUUAUUUAGUCAAGGGAAACAAAAUGUGACAUUCUACAAAAUUAUUCAGUUGAGUCUGACCAAGUGCUUGGUCUUAAGUAAAAAAACAAAACAAAACAAUUUUUGGCUUCAGGAUUUUUCUCUUUGAAAAAUACAACAAACUUUCUUUUUUUUUAAUGAUGUUUAAAUACUAAGCUUGUACAAUGCUUGCUUAACACACUGCAUGGCACUUUUUAUCUAAUAAAUGGAAAAGAAAACUAAAUGCCACUUAUUACAUAUGGUAAAAUAAUUAUUUUUAUUUAAUCUGGUUUUGUGGUUCAUAAAUUUCUAAUGGCAACAACAAUGUUUCAGAUUUGAAAAACUGCAGUUAACCUUGCUAUUUCUCUGUACCUUAGAACUGAUAAGUUUUCUCAGAAUCUUGUGUUGCUGGAAGAAAGGAAACAAUGACAUGAUUUGUACAUGCUAUAUGCUUUACAUCUGUGAAGAGAAAAAGUCUGUAGGAAUAGAUAGUGUCUUUCAUUAGAUCAUCUGAUACGUGUAGUUGAAAAAA